AUUGAACGCUGGCGGCAUGCCUUACACAUGCAAGUCGAACGGCAGCGCGGGGCAACCUGGCGGCGAGUGGCGAACGGGUGAGUAAUAUAUCGGAACAUACCCUAGAGUGGGGGAUAACGUAGCGAAAGUUACGCUAAUACCGCAUACGCACUAAGGUGGAAAGUGGGGGAUUCGCAAGAACCUCAUGCUCAUGGAGUGGCCGAUAUCUGAUUAGCUAGUUGGUGAGGUAAAGGCUCACCAAGCCGACGAUCUGUAGCUGGUCUGAGAGGACGACCAGCCACACUGGGACUGAGACACGGCCCAGACUCCUACGGGAGGCAGCAGUGGGGAAUUUUGGACAAUGGGCGCAAGCCUGAUCCAGCAAUGCCGCGUGCAGGAU
rnacentral:rRNA from 1 species